UAAUAAAAAUUUAAUCCAUUUCAACUAUUAAAAACUAGAGUGGCUGAUAAAAUAACCACAUGUACCUCAUGUACCUCGUGCUGAUGUACUAGGACUAGUUUUUAACAGUAGAAAUAGAUGGAUUUUUUAACA
rnacentral:pre_miRNA from 1 species